rnacentral:lncRNA from 1 species
UUUCUGUUAAACAAUUUAAAUUUGGAUCCAUGUCUUUAGUCCUUUUCGUUACGCACAUUCCUUUGCAUCGUGUGGUAUUUUUAACUUUCUUUUUAUAACGAUCGUUUCUUUUUUUUUUUUGAUUGUGUGGUAAUGGAUAUAAUGGCGCGUGAAGACAUUCGCCCGCUUUUAUCUGUUCCCAUGUAUUGUUUGCCUGGCAAUUUAUUCUGUGCCAGUCAGGAACUCCUACCACAAUAGGAUUGAUUAUGAUUAUUGUCUCGGAAAUUUGGCGAAUAAUUUUGUUGUGUAGAGAGUUGACGUUGAUUUUCCAACGGACGCGACGGUUGAUAUCCAAAGCGCGGACCUCGUUCGUUAUUUCUGGCUGUACUAAAUCUCAAAGGCGGUGGUAACCUCGGAGUAAAUCUCAGUCUUUCAAUUACCUGUGAAUUCCUAAUUGUAUAACGCGGCUGAUUAUAAUUACAAUUUCUAUACUGUAAUGCCAUAUGUGGCCUGUACCUGGGUGUGUAUUGUAUAUAUUGCCUCUGCAUUGCCAUUGUUUGUCGUGGAACUAUUGGUGUUCCUAGAUAGAUAGUAGAGAGGGAGGGGCCCCUAUGCAGCCCAAGCACCGCGACCAACACAGGUCUAUUGUGCACAUUGGUGUUCCUAAGUUUGUUCUUUCUAAUUGUGACUCUAAUUUGUCCAAUCUAUCUGUGAUCUGUUUUAUCACUGUCUGUAAGCCAUCUGUAUUAGGUGCAUUGUGCUCUACAGAAUUGGAUUCGCCUACAGUGUCAUUUGCCUCACUAACUUCACACAUUUUUCCAACAAACGGUCAUGAUUUACCUGUUACUUGCUCUAUCAUCUCCUUGCGUGUCGCCACUAAUAAUGCCUCCUCAAAUGUUUUGGGAUCAUGAGACACGACAGCAUGCUUAAUCUGGUCAUUAAUUCCGUUCAAGAAUUGUAUGCGCAGCCUUUCAUUCAAUUCUUUAUUCUGGCAUCGUGCGAUUACUGUUUUCUCUUGUUC